UAGGUAGCGCCUCGUGAAUUCAUCUCCGGGGGUAGAGCACUGUUUCGGCAAGGGGGUCAUCCCGACUUACCAACCCGAUGCAAACUGCGAAUACCGGAGAAUGUUAUCACGGGAGACACACGGCGGGUGCUAACGUCCGUCGUGAAGAGGGAAACAACCCAGACCGCCAGCUAAGGUCCCAAAGUCAUGGUUAAGUGGGAAACGAUGUGGGAAGGCCCAGACAGCCAGGAUGUUGGCUUAGAAGCAGCCAUCAUUUAAAGAAAGCGUAAUAGCUCACUGGUCGAGUCGGCCUGCGCGGAAGAUGUAACGGGGCUAAACCAUGCAC
rnacentral:rRNA from 1 species